CCUGAUCCAUCUCCACCUCCACCUCGACAUCGACACUUCAAUCUCAUCGUCAACAUGCCCAAGUCUCAUCGUCUUGUUGCCGGCGAUUCUCCGACGCCUGUCCGAACCUUCAAUGGCUACUCACGUGAGCACGAUGGAUCAGAUUACGGAUUAUCUAGGUAUUCCUCUUCCUGGAUUAGAAUUUUCGAAAAUGGGCUAUGUUGCUGCAUAUUUAAGAGAUCCUGUAAAUUGUUGCAAACCUUCUGUGGCCUCUAUUGGUCAGUAUUUCCGCCAUCUGUCGUUGAAGAUUGGAGACCGAGUGAAGUUGCAGAUGGCGUCUGAUCUUAUCCAAGACAGAUUCUACAUUCAAAUCCAACAUGGAAAAGGUAACUGUGGAAGGUGGUUUUGGCUGGUGAGGAAGAUGACAGCUAGGAGAUGUAUAAGAGAUCUAAUUUUGCUAGAGAAUCAAAUCCCAUGGGCCAAGGCCCUUUUUGGUGCAAAAUUUCGCUCCACAAUGACAAAAAAGGUCAGUGUUACUUAAACUAGAAACAAAUAGAAAGUUUUAUGAUCAAAGAGGUCAGUGCUACUCAGACCAGAACCAAAGGUGAAGUAAGUGUUAUAUUAGAAACUAGAGGGGAGACCCCUAUUCUUUAGGCAAUCUACAGGCCGGGGAGGUCAAUUGAUUAUUUCUAUUUUUGUACUUUUUACCAUCAGAGCUUUAUUUAAUAUAAUAAGGGUAAAUUAGCCUUUAGGUCAAAGUCAGCACACAGGGGAAGGCAGUGUUAUUUUUGAAACCACAUGAGAGAUCCAUGUUACUUAAGCAUUCAAUAGGGGAGUUCAAUGUAAUUUACCCUAUUGUUGAACCGUGAAAUGCUAAGGUAGAUACUUAGCAGCAGAGCCUACUACAGGUGUUUUUCAAUUUUUACAACUGAUAACUUGGCUCUUUGUGUGUAAUAUGACAUUGCAUUUUGCGGACGACAAUCCUUAGAGAACAAUAAGGAUAAGGAGGAUGGGAAGUGCAUAUUUUAAUGAAUAGGCAAUUUAUCAAGUAUGUUAGAACAUUGGUUAAUAGUAAUAGGUUGUCCAUUGUGCCGAGCUUGUUCAAACUUCAUUGCGGAGAAACUUAUGCUGAUUGCUGGCCCUUUUUAAUUUUUAUGUCAGCAACCACCUGUUUUAGAAUAGUUCUUUUCUUUUUUUGUUGUGUUUGCUGUUCUUUACAGGGGUUGUUUUAUUAUCUAAUAUUGUGUGGACAGAAUCUUAUAUUCUUCACUUUAUUUGAACGUCUUAGGUUAAAUGCUUAAAGGAUAUCUAUUGUUUUUGAGAGGUAGCAUAAAGGGUGGUACGUACAUUGUGAGGGAGCAGAGCAGAUCAUUGGUUUAGCAUAUAUAAUGGUUAUCAUGGCUAAGAAAAUGAGUGUUGCCAUACUCAUUUUGCUCCUUAUUACUGUGACGACGACGAUGGCAGACCUGCACCCUCCUUUUAUCCCUUGUUGCCAUGGUGGUGUGACAGACUGCUGCCCCACGACUAUCAAAGAAGGAGAUCCUACUACUGCUGUAAAGGCUCCCAGUGAUCAUCUUUCUUCUAAUUCCCAGGCAAAGGCAAACACACAUAUUCUGCCGCCUGCAGAGCCUUAGAGGAACCCACCGGCUCAGCUCGACUCUCCAUCUGCGUUUCUAGCUACAAGUGAAUUCGGGCUGUGUAUUACGGAGUAAUUUAGUUUGGUGUUAAUCCACUUGUGUUUAAUUUCAGUAUCUACUUUUAUGAUUUUAAACUUGUACUGUGAACUGCCUCACAUACAAUAUAAAAUGUAAUAUGGUGGUGGUUUUGUUUUGUGUGCACGUACAUCUUUGUUUCUACUGCAAAAACGAUGUUCUAUGACGUCAUCAUCAGGAAAGUCUUAUUUACAAAUAAAAUCUUUUUUUUUUUUUUUUUAAGUGUUUUUGAGGCUUUCCCUUUUUUUUCUUUUUUCUUUUUCUAAGCUUCGUGCUACCAUAAUUAAAUUCUAGUGUAGCUAGCUAUAAAUGGAUUGAAGUUGUAGUGCAGCACUUGAUUUAUUGAUCAAGACUGGAAGAUAAAUGAUUGAAAGAAUUCAGAAUUAUUUCCAGGUGUGUUUUUUAAAGGCAAUCCCCAAUACUAUUUAUG